GUGAAUUGAAUAUGUUAGCGGACCUCUUCGGAGUCCCUAGCAUCAAAUCAUAUCCAUAACACCUGUGAACUGUAAGGCUGUCUUGAAAACGAAUAGUGAUUAGAGCGCCUGCCCAUUUUAUACAAGACAUUAAAGUAACAAACGUAGUCUUAUUAUAAUCUAAUA
rnacentral:misc_RNA from 1 species